rnacentral:rRNA from 1 species
GGGUUGUGAGGUUAAGCGACUAAGCGUACACGGUGGAUGCCCUGGCAGUCAGAGGCGAUGAAGGACGUGCUAAUCUGCGAUAAGCGUCGGUAAGGUGAUAUGAACCGUUAUAACCGGCGAUUUCCGAAUGGGGAAACCCAGUGUGUUUCGACACACUAUCAUUAACUGAAUCCAUAGGUUAAUGAGGCGAACCGGGGGAACUGAAACAUCUAAGUACCCCGAGGAAAAGAAAUCAACCGAGAUUCCCCCAGUAGCGGCGAGCGAACGGGGAGCAGCCCAGAGUCUGAAUCAGUGUGUGUGUUAGUGGAAGCGUCUGGAAAGGCGCGCGAUACAGGGUGACAGCCCCGUACACAAAAAUGCACAUGCUGUGAGCUCGAUGAGUAGGGCGGGACACGUGGUAUCCUGUCUGAAUAUGGGGGGACCAUCCUCCAAGGCUAAAUACUCCUGACUGACCGAUAGUGAACCAGUACCGUGAGGGAAAGGCGAAAAGAACCCCGGCGAGGGGAGUGAAAAAGAACCUGAAACCGUGUACGUACAAGCAGUGGGAGCACGCUUAGGCGUGUGACUGCGUACCUUUUGUAUAAUGGGUCAGCGACUUAUAUUCUGUAGCAAGGUUAACCGAAUAGGGGAGCCGAAGGGAAACCGAGUCUUAACUGGGCGUUAAGUUGCAGGGUAUAGACCCGAAACCCGGUGAUCUAGCCAUGGGCAGGUUGAAGGUUGGGUAACACUAACUGGAGGACCGAACCGACUAAUGUUGAAAAAUUAGCGGAUGACUUGUGGCUGGGGGUGAAAGGCCAAUCAAACCGGGAGAUAGCUGGUUCUCCCCGAAAGCUAUUUAGGUAGCGCCUCGUGAAUUCAUCUCCGGGGGUAGAGCACUGUUUCGGCAAGGGGGUCAUCCCGACUUACCAACCCGAUGCAAACUGCGAAUACCGGAGAAUGUUAUCACGGGAGACACACGGCGGGUGCUAACGUCCGUCGUGAAGAGGGAAACAACCCAGACCGCCAGCUAAGGUCCCAAAGUCAUGGUUAAGUGGGAAACGAUGUGGGAAGGCCCAGACAGCCAGGAUGUUGGCUUAGAAGCAGCCAUCAUUUAAAGAAAGCGUAAUAGCUCACUGGUCGAGUCGGCCUGCGCGGAAGAUGUAACGGGGCUAAACCAUGCACCGAAGCUGCGGCAGCGACGCUUAUGCGUUGUUGGGUAGGGGAGCGUUCUGUAAGCCUGCGAAGGUGUGCUGUGAGGCAUGCUGGAGGUAUCAGAAGUGCGAAUGCUGACAUAAGUAACGAUAAAGCGGGUGAAAAGCCCGCUCGCCGGAAGACCAAGGGUUCCUGUCCAACGUUAAUCGGGGCAGGGUGAGUCGACCCCUAAGGCGAGGCCGAAAGGCGUAGUCGAUGGGAAACAGGUUAAUAUUCCUGUACUUGGUGUUACUGCGAAGGGGGGACGGAGAAGGCUAUGUUGGCCGGGCGACGGUUGUCCCGGUUUAAGCGUGUAGGCUGGUUUUCCAGGCAAAUCCGGAAAAUCAAGGCUGAGGCGUGAUGACGAGGCACUACGGUGCUGAAGCAACAAAUGCCCUGCUUCCAGGAAAAGCCUCUAAGCAUCAGGUAACAUCAAAUCGUACCCCAAACCGACACAGGUGGUCAGGUAGAGAAUACCAAGGCGCUUGAGAGAACUCGGGUGAAGGAACUAGGCAAAAUGGUGCCGUAACUUCGGGAGAAGGCACGCUGAUAUGUAGGUGAAGUCCCUCGCGGAUGGAGCUGAAAUCAGUCGAAGAUACCAGCUGGCUGCAACUGUUUAUUAAAAACACAGCACUGUGCAAACACGAAAGUGGACGUAUACGGUGUGACGCCUGCCCGGUGCCGGAAGGUUAAUUGAUGGGGUUAGCGCAAGCGAAGCUCUUGAUCGAAGCCCCGGUAAACGGCGGCCGUAACUAUAACGGUCCUAAGGUAGCGAAAUUCCUUGUCGGGUAAGUUCCGACCUGCACGAAUGGCGUAAUGAUGGCCAGGCUGUCUCCACCCGAGACUCAGUGAAAUUGAACUCGCUGUGAAGAUGCAGUGUACCCGCGGCAAGACGGAAAGACCCCGUGAACCUUUACUAUAGCUUGACACUGAACAUUGAGCCUUGAUGUGUAGGAUAGGUGGGAGGCUUUGAAGUGUGGACGCCAGUCUGCAUGGAGCCGACCUUGAAAUACCACCCUUUAAUGUUUGAUGUUCUAACGUUGACCCGUGAUCCGGGUUGCGGACAGUGUCUGGUGGGUAGUUUGACUGGGGCGGUCUCCUCCUAAAGAGUAACGGAGGAGCACGAAGGUUGGCUAAUCCUGGUCGGACAUCAGGAGGUUAGUGCAAUGGCAUAAGCCAGCUUGACUGCGAGCGUGACGGCGCGAGCAGGUGCGAAAGCAGGUCAUAGUGAUCCGGUGGUUCUGAAUGGAAGGGCCAUCGCUCAACGGAUAAAAGGUACUCCGGGGAUAACAGGCUGAUACCGCCCAAGAGUUCAUAUCGACGGCGGUGUUUGGCACCUCGAUGUCGGCUCAUCACAUCCUGGGGCUGAAGUAGGUCCCAAGGGUAUGGCUGUUCGCCAUUUAAAGUGGUACGCGAGCUGGGUUUAGAACGUCGUGAGACAGUUCGGUCCCUAUCUGCCGUGGGCGCUGGAGAACUGAGGGGGGCUGCUCCUAGUACGAGAGGACCGGAGUGGACGCAUCACUGGUGUUCGGGUUGUCAUGCCAAUGGCACUGCCCGGUAGCUAAAUGCGGAAGAGAUAAGUGCUGAAAGCAUCUAAGCACGAAACUUGCCCCGAGAUGAGUUCUCCCUGACCCUUUAAGGGUCCUGAAGGAACGUUGAAGACGACGACGUUGAUAGGCCGGGUGUGUAAGCGCAGCGAUGCGUUGAGCUAACCGGUACUAAUGAACCGUGAGGCUUAACCUUACAACGCCGAAG